rnacentral:rRNA from 1 species
GAUGAACGCUAGCUACAGGCUUAACACAUGCAAGUCGAGGGGCAUCAGGAAGAAAGCUUGCUUUCUUUGCUGGCGACCGGCGCACGGGUGAGUAACACGUAUCCAACCUGCCCUUUACUCGGGGAUAGCCUUUCGAAAGAAAGAUUAAUACCCGAUGGCAUAAUGAUUCCGCAUGGUUUCAUUAUUAAAGGAUUCCGGUAAAGGAUGGGGAUGCGUUCCAUUAGGUUGUUGGUGAGGUAACGGCUCACCAAGCCUUCGAUGGAUAGGGGUUCUGAGAGGAAGGUCCCCCACAUUGGAACUGAGACACGGUCCAAACUCCUACGGGAGGCAGCAGUGAGGAAUAUUGGUCAAUGGGCGUUAGCCUGAACCAGCCAAGUAGCGUGAAGGAUGAAGGCUCUAUGGGUCGUAAACUUCUUUUAUAUAAGAAUAAAGUGCAGUAUGUAUACUGUUUUGUAUGUAUUAUAUGAAUAAGGAUCGGCUAACUCCGUGCCAGCAGCCGCGGUAAUACGGAGGAUCCGAGCGUUAUCCGGAUUUAUUGGGUUUAAAGGGAGCGUAGGUGGACUGGUAAGUCAGUUGUGAAAGUUUGCGGCUCAACCGUAAAAUUGCAGUUGAUACUGUCAGUCUUGAGUACAGUAGAGGUGGGCGGAAUUCGUGGUGUAGCGGUGAAAUGCUUAGAUAUCACGAAGAACUCCGAUUGCGAAGGCAGCUCACUGGACUGCAACUGACACUGAUGCUCGAAAGUGUGGGUAUCAAACCAGG